rnacentral:rRNA from 1 species
GACGAACGCUGGCGGCGUGCCUAAUACAUGCAAGUCGAGCGGACUAAUGGGAGCUUGCUCCCGUUAGUUAGCGGCGGACGGGUGAGUAACACGUGGGCAACCUACCUGUAAGACUGGGAUAACUUCGGGAAACCGGAGCUAAUACCGGAUGACAUAAAGGAACUCCUGUUCCUUUAUUGAAAGAUGGCUUCGGCUAUCACUUACAGAUGGGCCCGCGGCGCAUUAGCUAGUUGGUGAGGUAACGGCUCACCAAGGCGACGAUGCGUAGCCGACCGGAGAGGGUGAUCGGCCACACUGGGACGGAGAAACGGCCCAGAAUCCUACGGGAGGCAGCAGUAGGGAAUCUUCCGCAAUGGACGAAAGUCUGACGGAGCAACGCCGCGUGAGCGAUGAAGGCCUUCGGGUCGUAAAGCUCUGUUGUUAGGGAAGAAUAAGUGCUAGUUAAAUAAGCUGGCACCUUGACGGUACCUAACCAGAAAGCCACGGCUAACUACGUGCCAGCCGCCGCAGUAA